CCAUGGAGGUAGAGCUAUGGGCUGCCAUCCCCGUGUGCAUGAUGAUGUUGUGCACAUUGUACAGCCGUGCAUGGUGAUCUUUAUCAACUAAAAUCAUCUUAAUAGUUCUCACACUCCAGCAACUUAGGUUAUAUGGCUCAUCCGUUCUUCAAGAUAAACGCCGCCACAUAGAAUGGGGAACACUGAUUGUUGGGGUUGUCCUGCACACACAAAAGUGUCCUAAUUGGAUCACAAACCAGCUGAGGGCUUCUUGUGUACCUUUUCUUAAAAGUAGAAUGAUGCAAGAAUAUGAACCAUGAUCAAUGAAAAAAGACAGAAUUUGUUAUGCUAUUUCUUUGUGGUUGUAGUUGUAAGCCAGGUAUUUCUACAUGUUAGAACAUGCUUGGAUACAGAAAAUUCGGAGAAAACUUGCAGAAACCGGCCUACUUCUGCAUAGGGAAAAUGAUUUUAUAUGAUAUAUUGACAGUACAAAUAUUAAAUACACAGAAAAAUAAACAUCAUAUGGCCCAUACAUAUUUCUUUUAGAGAUUGGCUUCUGGCACAUUGCCCAUAAAUAGCAAAGACCAAUCUGAUGUAAUUGAAAAGACGACCUGAAAUAGAUAAAAAAACAUCAUAUUGUGUAUAGCCAAGGAGAAUUGUUUUUUAGCAGAUUUCUCCAUUUCUAGGUCUUUAUGAAAGAGCCAGGAAAAUGUGCAGGAUAGGUGGAGCAUAAGAGGUGUCAAAAUAUGGAGAAGCUGCUGCUGAAAGAGGUCUGCAUUUGCACAUGAGGAAGAUGAGAGGAAGAAAGGCAGCCGACUUGCUUCCAAACAAGAAUAGAAGUUAAUUGUAGUCUGUUGAUUGAGUCAUCCACAGCAAGUAUACAGAUUGGGAUCAUUCCUUGGAUAAUGACAGCGAGGCCAACCUCUGCUGUGCCAAAUCCAUCCUGCUGUUGCCGCAUAAGGGGGAAGAGAUUAUCCAUAAACAACGGACAAUUGAGCCAAUUAAACCUAAAAGUAGUACAACCCUAACUAACCCUAAAACAUCAACAUGAAUGAAACAGAGCACAAGAGAUUCCUUCCAUGGCCAGGGAGAAGAGCAUAACUAACCCUAAUCAAAUCCAAGAGGAGAGAUCUGACCUUAGAGAGAAGAGCUCCCAUGACCUUCAUGGACAG
rnacentral:lncRNA from 1 species